AUCAACUUUCGAUUGGUAGGAUAGAGGCCUACCAUGGUGGUAACGGGUAACGGGGUGUUAGGGCACGACACCGGAGAGGGAGCCUGAGAAACGGCUACCACAUCCAAGGAUGGCAGCAGGCGCGCAAAUUACCCAAUCCCGACACGGGGAGGUAGUGACAAUAAAUAACAAUACGGGGUUCUUUCGGAUCUCGUAAUUGGAAUGAGUACAAUUUAAAUCUCUUAACGAGGAACAAUUGGAGGGCAAGUCUGGUGCCAGCAGCCACGGUAAUUCCAGCUCCAAUAGCGUAUAUUAAAGUUGUUGCAGUUAAAAAGCUCGUAGUUGAAUUUCGGGACCAAUUUGUUGGUCGUGCCUCGGUACGUACUGGUAUUAUUGGUUUCUACCUUCUGAAGAACCUUGAUGUCAUUAACUUGGUGUCUUGGGAAUCAGGACUGUUACUUUGAAAAAAUUAGAGUGUUUAAAGCAAGCAUACGCUUGAAUACAUUAGCAUGGAAUAAUGAAAUAGGACGUUUGAUUCUAUUUUGUUGGUUUCUAGGAUCGACGUAAUGAUUAAUAGGGAUAGUUGGGGGCAUUAGUAUUCAAUUGUCAGAGGUGAAAUUCUUGGAUUUAUUGAAGACUAACUACUGCGAAAGCAUUUGCCAAGGAUGUUUUCAUUAAUCAAGAACGAAAGUUAGGGGAUCGAAGACGAUCAGAUACCGUCGUAGUCUUAACCAUAAACUAUGCCGACUAGGGAUCGGAUGAUGUUAAUUUUUUAAUGACUCAUUCGGCGCCUUACGGGAAACCAAAGUGUUUGGGUUC
rnacentral:rRNA from 1 species